CGGGCGUUAAGUUGCAGGGUAUAGACCCGAAACCCGGUGAUCUAGCCAUGGGCAGGUUGAAGGUUGGGUAACACUAACUGGAGGACCGAACCGACUAAUGUUGAAAAAUUAGCGGAUGACCUGUGGCUGGGGGUGAAAGGCCAAUCAAACCGGGAGAUAGCUGGUUCUCCCCGAAAGCUAUUUAGGUAGCGCCUCGUGAAUUCAUCUCCGGGGGUAGAGCACUGUUUCGGCUAGGGGGCCAUCCCGGCUUACCAACCCGAUGCAAACUGCGAAUACCGGAGAAUGUUAUCACGGGAGACACACGGCGGGUGCUAACGUCCGUCGUGAAGAGGGAAACAACCCAGACCGCCAGCUAAGGUCCCAAAGUCAUGGUUAAGUGGGAAACGAUGUGGGAAGGCCCAGACAGCCAGGAUGUUGGCUUAGAAGCAGCCAUCAUUUAAAGAAAGCGUAAUAGCUCACUGGUCGAGUCGGCCUGCGCGGAAGAUGUAACGGGGCUAAACCAUGCACCGAAGCUGCGGCAGCGACACUGUGUGUUGUUGGGU
rnacentral:rRNA from 1 species